GACCUUGUAGCUCAGUUGGUAGAGCAUUGGACUAGCAAACCAAAGAUCGCGGGUUCUAUUCUCACCGGGGUCA